rnacentral:rRNA from 1 species
AUUGAACGCUAGCGGGAUGCUUUACACAUGCAAGUCGAACGAGGCGCGGACGGGUGUGUAAUAUGGGGGAACGUGCGCAGUAGCGGGGGAUAACUUAUCAAAAGAGGGGCUAAUACCGCAAAAUAUUAGCGGGGCCGAUAGGGGAUUAGCUAGUUGGUGGGGUAAAGGCUCACCAAGGCAACGAUCCGUAGCUGGUUUGAGAGGACGACCAGCCACACUGGGACUGAGACACGGCCCAGACUCCUACGGGAGGCAGCAGUGGGGAAUUUUGGACAAUGGGGGAAACCCUGAUCCAGCCAUCCCGCGUGUAUGAGAAGGCCUUCGGGUUGUAAAGUACUUUUGGCAGAGAAGCGGUAUCUGCAGAAGAAGCACCGGCUAACUACGUGCCAGCAGCCGCGGUAAUUC